rnacentral:ncRNA from 1 species
GUGUUGUAUGAGAGGAGAGGUUAGCACCCCCCUUGACAAGGAUGGAAGAGGCUCUCGGGCCUGUACAACAUGCAUACAGUAAAUGUAAAAAAAAAUAAAAUUGU